UACAGGAGGGGCAAGCGUUGUUCGGAAUUACUGGGCGUAAAGGGCUCGUAGGUGGCCAACUAAGUCAGACGUGAAAUCCCUCAGCUUAACUGGGGAACUGCGUCUGAUACUGGAUGGCUUGAGUUUGGGAGAGGGAUGCGGAAUUCCAGGUGUAGCGGUGAAAUGCGUAGAUAUCUGGAGGAACACCGGUGGCGAAGGCGGCAUCCUGGACCAACACUGACACUGAGGCGCGAAAGCUAGGGGAGCAAACGGG
rnacentral:rRNA from 1 species